UCUUGUUGUCUAACAAAUUCUUGGGAAAUCCCCAGCAUGCCAGAGGAGUAGUAAGGGAAACGUUUUAAAUUUCCAGUAUCAAUACUUCCACACAAUCAUUUAUAAACUACUGACAGUAGGUGGAACUUAACCAUGGUGACCCAACAAUUCUCAAUGUCAACCAAGAACAAACCUUGAAGUGACCUCUGUGACGAUCUAAUAGCUGAACUUCAAAGCUCCUCACCAAGGAUAAAUCAUUGUAGGAGGAAGACCAAGAAGCCCCAUCAUUUAAAGAGGCAGAAGCCCAUGGACCAGUGAACGAAAUGAUGACAUCCAGACGUGUGCUGCUUUGCAGCUUCAACUCUGCCUCUUUCAAGCUGUGUAGAGAGCUGGUUUAAAUUACUGUGCUUAAGAGACCUGUACAACAAAAUGCCUCUAACCUGGAAGCCCUGCUUACCCAAGGACAAACAGCUUCCUGGAAUGCUGGGGGAUGUUCAUGUAAGAUAACAGUGUCUCACGUCUGUAAGCUGGUUCCAUCAACUACACAAGAUAUGUGCUUGAUCGCAUGGAGGUGGAAAUGUGUAGCCCCUGACUAGUGUACUUUGUGGCCAUACUGUGGGAAUCCAGUAUGGACCUGGUCAGUAUAUAUGGCCUGACCUGUAUUUAAUAUUUAAUAUUUAAUAAAGCCUUUCAUUUAUUAAAAUGUA